rnacentral:rRNA from 1 species
AGAGUUUGAUCCUGGCUCAGGAUGAACGCUGGCGGCGUGCUUAACACAUGCAAGUCGAACGAACCUUCGGGUUAGUGGCGGACGGGUGAGUAACGCGUGGGAAUCUGCCCUCAGGAGGGGGAUAACGGUUGGAAACGGCCGCUAAUACCCCAUAUGCCGAGAGGUGAAAUGAAUUUCGCCUGAGGAUGAGCCCGCGUCUGAUUAGCUAGUUGGUGAGGUAAGAGCUCACCAAGGCAUCGAUCAGUAGCUGGUCUGAGAGGAUGAUCAGCCACACUGGGACUGAGACACGGCCCAGACUCCUACGGGAGGCAGCAGUGGGGAAUUUUCCGCAAUGGGCGAAAGCCUGACGGAGCAACGCCGCGUGAGGGAUGAAGGCCUCUGGGCUGUAAACCUCUUUUAUCAAGGAAGAAGAUCUGACGGUACUUGAUGAAUAAGCCACGGCUAAUUCCGUGCCAGCAGCCGCGGUAAUACGGGAGUGGCAAGCGUUAUCCGGAAUUAUUGGGCGUAAAGCGUCCGCAGGCGGCCCUACAAGUCUGCUGUUAAAAAGUGGAGCUUAACUCCAUCAUGGCAGUGGAAACUGUUGGGCUUGAGUGUGGUAGGGGCAGAGGGAAUUCCCGGGUGUAGCGGUGAAAUGCGUAGAUAUCGGGAAGAACACCAGUGGCGAAAGCGCUCUGCUGGGCCAUCACUGACGCUCAUGGACGAAAGCCAGGGGAGCGAAAGGGAUUAGAUACCCCUGUAGUCCUGGCCGUAAACGAUGAACACUAGGUGUCGGGGGAAUCGACCCCCUCCGGUGUCGUAGCCAACGCGUUAAGUGUUCCGCCUGGGGAGUACGCACGCAAGUGUGAAACUCAAAGGAAUUGACGGGGGCCCGCACAAGCGGUGGAGUAUGUGGUUUAAUUCGAUGCAACGCGAAGAACCUUACCAGGGUUUGACAUCCUGCGAAUCUCUUGGAAACUUGAGAGUGCCUUCGGGAGCGCAGUGACAGGUGGUGCAUGGCUGUCGUCAGCUCGUGUCGUGAGAUGUUGGGUUAAGUCCCGCAACGAGCGCAACCCACGUCUUUAGUUGCCAGCAUUUAGUUGGGCACUCUAGAGAGACCGCCGGUGAUAAACCGGAGGAAGGUGUGGAUGACGUCAAGUCAUCAUGCCCCUUACAUCCUGGGCUACACACGUACUACAAUGCUACGGACAAAGGGCAGCAAGUUCGCGAGGACAAGCAAAUCCCAUAAACCGUAGCUCAGUUCAGAUCGUAGGCUGCAACUCGCCUACGUGAAGGAGGAAUCGCUAGUAAUCGCAGGUCAGCAUACUGCGGUGAGUACGUUCCCGGGCCUUGUACACACCGCCCGUCACACCAUGGAAGUUGGCCACGCCCGAAGCCGUUACUCCAACCCUUGUGGAGGAGGACGUCGAAGGUGGGGCUGAUGACUGGGGUGAAGUCGUAACAAGGUAACCGUA